GCCCAGGUGGCGAAAUUGGUAGACGCACUGCUCUUAGGAAGCAGCGAGGUGACUCAUGAAGGUUCAAGUCCUUUCCUGGGCA
rnacentral:tRNA from 1 species